GAUGAACGCUGGCGGCGUGCCUAAUACAUGCAAGUCGAGCGAACAGAUAAGGAUCUUGCUCCUUUGACGUUAGCGGCGGACGGGUGAGUAACACGUGGAUAACCUACCUAUAAGACUGGGAUAACUUCGGGAAACCGGAGCCAAUACCGGAUAACAUAUUGAACCGCAUGGUUCAAUAGUGAAAGGCGGCUUUGCUGUCACUUAUAGAUGGAUCCGCGCCGUAUUAGCUAGUUGGUAAGGUAACGGCGUACCAAGGCAACGAUACGUAGCCGACCUGAGAGGGUGAUCAGCCACACUGGAACUGAGACACGGUCCAGACUCCUACGGGAGGCAGCAGUAGGGAAUCUUGGACAAUGGGCGAAAGCCUGACGGAGCAACGCCGCGUGAGUGAUGAAGGUCUUCGGAUCGUAAAACUCUGUUAUCAGGGAAGAACAAAAGUGUAAGUAACUGUGCACAUCUUGACGGUACCUGAUCAGAAAGCCCCGGCUAACUACGUG
rnacentral:rRNA from 1 species